rnacentral:rRNA from 2 species
ACCUUUUGUAUAAUGGGUCAGCGACUUAUAUUCUGUAGCAAGGUUAACCGUAUAGGGGAGCCGAAGGGAAACCGAGUCUUAACUGGGCGUUAAGUUGCAGGGUAUAGACCCGAAACCCGGUGAUCUAGCCAUGGGCAGGUUGAAGGUUGGGUAACACUAACUGGAGGACCGAACCGACUAAUGUUGAAAAAUUAGCGGAUGACUUGUGGCUGGGGGUGAAAGGCCAAUCAAACCGGGAGAUAGCUGGUUCUCCCCGAAAGCUAUUUAGGUAGCGCCUCGUGAACUCAUCUUCGGGGGUAGAGCACUGUUUCGGCUAGGGGGUCAUCCCGACUUACCAACCCGAUGCAAACUGCGAAUACCGAAGAAUGUUAUCACGGGAGACACACGGCGGGUGCUAACGUCCGUCGUGAAGAGGGAAACAACCCAGACCGCCAGCUAAGGUCCCAAAGUCACAGUUAAGUGGGAAACGAUGUGGGAAGGCUCAGACAGCCAGGAUGUUGGCUUAGAAGCAGCCAUCAUUUAAAGAAAGCGUAAUAGCUCACUGGUCGAGUCGGCCUGCGCGGAAGAUGUAACGGGGCUAAACUGUGCACCGAAGCUGCGGCAGCGACGCUUAUGCGUUGUUGGGUAGGGGAGCGUUCUGUAAGCCUGCGAAGGUGUCCUGUGAGGGAUGCUGGAGGUAUCAGAAGUGCGAAUGCUGACAUAAGUAACGAUAAUGCGGGUGAAAAGCCCGCUCGCCGGAAGACCAAGGGUUCCUGUCCAACGUUAAUCGGGGCAGGGUGAGUCGACCCCUAAGGCGAGGCCGAAAGGCGUAGUCGAUGGGAAACGGGUUAAUAUUCCCGUACUUGGUGUUACUGCGAAGGGGGGACGGAGAAGGCUAUGUUGGCCGGGCGACGGUUGUCCCGGUUUAAGCGUGUAGGCUGGUUUUCCAGGCAAAUCCGGAAAAUCAAG